rnacentral:rRNA from 1 species
AGUGAACGCUGGCGGUAGGCCUAACACAUGCAAGUCGAACGGCAGCACAGGAGAGCUUGCUCUCUGGGUGGCGAGUGGCGGACGGGUGAGGAAUACAUCGGAAUCUGCCCAGUCGUGGGGGAUAACGUAGGGAAACUUACGCUAAUACCGCAUACGACCUUCGGGUGAAAGAGGGGGAGCGCAAGACCUCUCGCGAUUGGAUGAGCCGAUGUCGGAUUAGCUAGUUGGCGGGGUAAUGGCCCACCAAGGCGACGAUCCGUAGCUGGUCUGAGAGGAUGAUCAGCCACACUGGAACUGAGACACGGUCCAGACUCCUACGGGAGGCAGCAGUGGGGAAUAUUGGACAAAGGGCGCAAGCCUGAUCCAGCCAUACCGCGUGGGUGAAGAAGGCCUUCGGGUUGUAAAGCCCUUUUGUUGGGAAAGAAAUCUUUCAGGCUAAUACCCUGGGAGGAUGACGGUACCCAAAGAAUAAGCACCGGCUAACUUCGUG